CAGUAGCCGCGGUAAUACGAGGGGGGCAAGCGUUGUUCGGAUUUAUUGGGCGUAAAGGGUGCGUAGGCGGUUUGGCAAGUCUUGUGUGAAAUCUUCGGGCUCAACCCGAAGCCUGCACGAGAAACUACCGGGCUUGAGUAUUGGAGAGGUGAGUGGAAUUUCCGGUGUAGCGGUGAAUGCGUAGAUAUCGGAAGGAACACCAGUGGCGAAGGCGGCUCACUGGACGACUGUUGACGCUGAGGUGCGAAAGCGUGGGGAGCAAACAGGAUUAGAUACCCCAGUAGUCCCUGUCUCUUAUACA
rnacentral:rRNA from 1 species